CAGAGGGUGCAAGCGUUAAUCGGAAUCACUGGGCUUAAAGCGUUCGUAGGCGGGCUUGCAGGCGCGUUGUGAAAGCCCCCGGCUCAACCGGGGAACUGCUUCGCGAACCGCAAGUCUUGAGUCAAGUAGGGGCGGUCGGAACGAUAGGUGGAGCGGUGAAAUGCGUAGAUAUCUAUCGGAACGCCAAAGGUGAAGACAGGCCGCUGGGCUUGUACUGACGCUGAGGAACGAAAGCGUGGGGAGCAAACGGGAUUAGAUACCCCGGUAGUCCACGCCGUAAACGAUGCGCACUAGGUCGGGGAGGCUUGACGCCCUCCUGGCCGAAGCAAAAGUGUUUAGUGCGCCGCCUGGGGAGUACGGUCGCAAGGCUA
rnacentral:rRNA from 1 species